AUGGCGGACAAGGUCGUGGCCACCUACUACUACCCGCCGAUGGAGGUGGCCGCCGCCGAGCUCGGCCACACCGCUGGGUCCAAGGUGGACGACGAUGGCCGCAACAAGCGCACCGGCACGAUGUGGACGGCGAGCUCGCACAUCAUCACGGCGGUGAUCGGGUCCGGGGUGCUGUCGCUGGGCUGGGCCAUCGCGCAGCUCGGCUGGGUGGCCGGCCCCGCCGUCAUGCUCCUCUUCUCGCUCGUCACCUACUUCACCUCCUCGCUGCUCGCCGACUGCUACCGCUCCGGCGAUCAGAGCACCGGCAAGCGCAACUACACCUACAUGGACGCCGUCAACGCCAACCUCAGCGGCGUCAAGGUGCAGAUUUGCGGGGUGCUGCAGUAUGCUAACAUCGUUGGGGUGUCUAUCGGCUACACCAUCGCCGCCUCCAUCAGUAUGCUGGCCAUCAAGAGGGCAAACUGCUUCCACGGCAACGGCCACGCAGACCCCUGCAAGGUCUCCAGCGUGCCCUACAUGAUCAUCUUCGGCGUGGCCCAGGUCUUCUUCUCCCAGAUCCCCGACUUCGACCAGAUCUCCUGGCUCUCCAUGCUCGCCGCCGCCAUGUCCUUCACCUACUCCUCCAUCGGCCUCGGCCUCGGCAUCGUCCAAGUCAUAGCAAACGGAGGCGUGAAGGGUAGCCUGACCGGCAUCAGCAUCGGCACGGUGACGCCGAUGCAGAAGGUGUGGCGCAGCACGCAGGCGUUCGGGGACAUUGCGUUCGCCUACUCCUACUCCCUCAUACUCAUCGAAAUCCAGGACACCAUCCGUGCGCCGCCGCCGUCGGAGUCCACGGUCAUGAAGCGCGCCACCAUGGUCAGUGUCGCGGUGACCACGGUUUUCUACAUGCUCUGCGGCUGCAUGGGCUACGCGGCUUUCGGCGACGCCGCGCCGGGGAACCUCCUCACGGGGUUUGGGUUCUACGAGCCAUUCUGGCUCCUCGACGUGGCCAAUGCCGCCAUCGUCGUCCACCUCGUCGGCGCGUACCAGGUGUACUGCCAGCCCCUGUUUGCCUUCGUCGAGAAAUGGGCGGCGAAGAGGUGGCCGGAGUCCACGUUCGUCACCGGCGAGGUCGAGGUCCCGCUCUUCAGGACGUACAAGGUGAACAUGUUCCGGGCUACGUGGCGAACGGCGUUCGUGGUGGCGACGACGGUGGUGUCCAUGAUGCUGCCCUUCUUCAACGACGUGGUGGGGUUCCUGGGCGCGCUGGGGUUCUGGCCGCUCACCGUCUACUUUCCGGUGGAGAUGUACGUGGUGCAGAAGAAGGUGCCCAAGUGGAGCACACAGUGGGUGUGCCUCCAGAUGCUCAGCCUCGGAUGCCUCGUCAUCUCCCUUGCCGCCGCCGCGGGGUCCAUCGCCGGCAUCAAGUCUGACCUCAAGGUGUACCACCCAUUCAAGACAUAA
rnacentral:rRNA from 1 species